GAGGUAUGUGUUUCCUUUCUUCUCACUUAUUUAUCACUUGAGCCCAGGAGUUGUGGGCUGCAAAAUGCCCAUUGGGUACCACACUGAGUUUGGCAUCAAUAUGGUGACCUCCUGGGAGCUGAGGACCACCAGGUUGCAUAAGGUGGGGUGAACCGGGCCAGACUGGAAAGGGGGUCAAUCAGUAGUGGGAUUGUGCCUGGUGAAUAACCAUUGCACUCCAGCCUGGGCAACACAGUGAGACUCCGUCU
ensembl:misc_RNA Metazoa_SRP Metazoan signal recognition particle RNA